rnacentral:rRNA from 1 species
AGUGAACGCUGGCGGUAGGCCUAACACAUGCAAGUCGAACGGCAGCACAGUAAGAGCUUGCUCUUACGGGUGGCGAGUGGCGGACGGGUGAGGAAUACAUCGGAAUCUACUUUUUCGUGGGGGAUAACGUAGGGAAACUUACGCUAAUACCGCAUACGACCCACGGGUGAAAGCAGGGGAUCUUCGGACCUUGCGCGAUUGAAUGAGCCGAUGUCGGAUUAGCUAGUUGGCGGGGUAAAGGCCCACCAAGGCGACGAUCCGUAGCUGGUCUGAGAGGAUGAUCAGCCACACUGGAACUGAGACACGGUCCAGACUCCUACGGGAGGCAGCAGUGGGGAAUAUUGGACAAUGGGCGCAAGCCUGAUCCAGCCAUACCGCGUGAGUGAAGAAGGCCUUCGGGUUGUAAAGCCCUUUUGUUGGGAAAGAAAAGCAGCAGGUUAAUACCCCGCUGUUCUGACGGUACCCAAAGAAUAAGCACCGGCUAACUUCGUG